AUUGAACGCUGGCGGAAUGCUUUACACAUGCAAGUCGAGCGGCAGCGCGGGGCAACCUGGCGGCGAGCGGCGAACGGGUGAGUAAUGCAUCGGAACGUACCCAGUCGUGGGGGAUAACUGUCCGAAAGGACAGCUAAUACCGCAUACGUCCUGAGGGAGAAAGCGGGGGAGUCGCAAGACCUCGCGCGAUUGGAGCGGCCGAUGCCGGAUUAGCUAGUUGGUAGGGUAAAGGCCUACCAAGGCGACGAUCCGUAGCUGGUCUGAGAGGACGACCAGCCACACUGGAACUGAGACACGGUCCAGACUCCUACGGGAGGCAGCAGUGGGGAAUUUUGGACAAUGGGGGGCAACCCUGAUCCAGCCAUUCCGCGUGAGCGAAGAAGGCCU
rnacentral:rRNA from 1 species